GUACUGUUGAAGAGUCCCAAACUAGGACGAAACAGUUGUCCAGUAC
rfam:Trichobilharzia regenti genome assembly, scaffold: TRE_scaffold0002022